rnacentral:rRNA from 1 species
GAUGAACGCUGGCGGCGUGCCUAAUACAUGCAAGUCGAGCGAACAGACGAGGAGCUUGCUCCUCUGACGUUAGCGGCGGACGGGUGAGUAACACGUGGAUAACCUACCUAUAAGACUGGGAUAACUUCGGGAAACCGGAGCUAAUACCGGAUAAUAUAUUGAACCGCAUGGUUCAAUAGUGAAAGACGGUUUUGCUGUCACUUAUAGAUGGAUCCGCGCCGCAUUAGCUAGUUGGUAAGGUAACGGCUUACCAAGGCAACGAUGCGUAGCCGACCUGAGAGGGUGAUCGGCCACACUGGAACUGAGACACGGUCCAGACUCCUACGGGAGGCAGCAGUAGGGAAUCUUCGGCAAUGGGCGAAAGCCUGACGGAGCAACGCCGCGUGAGUGAUGAAGGUCUUCGGAUCGUAAAACUCUGUUAUUAGGGAAGAACAAAUGUGUAAUUAACUAUGCACGUCUUGACGGUACCUAAUCAGAAAGCAACGGCUAACUACGUG